rnacentral:rRNA from 1 species
AUGCUCUCCGUCGGCGGCCGCUUCCAGGGCGGAGCUCCCCCAUGGCGACGGCCCCGGCCACGCUCGCGCCUGGCGUCUCCGCCGGCCUCCAGCAGCGGCGCCGGCGACUCCGAAAAGGCCAGACCUUUGCUCGUGGAGAGGUACCGCGACGGCGCCGCCAAGAGGUAUAUGUUGGACGGCGACUCUAAGCUGCAAGUUCACUGGGAGAAGCAUGAUGAAUCUUCGAUGAACACUGUCGAAGAUGAAAAGGCGAAUUCUUCGAUUCCCCGGGCUGUUAGUGAUUUUGUGCUUCCAGCAGGUUUUCCAGAAUCUGUCUCGGAUGAUUACCUGCAGUACAUGCUAUUGCAAUUCCCCACAAACGUGACAGGAUGGAUCUGUCACACGUUGGUUACAUCAAGUCUUCUGAAGGCUGUAGGUGUUGGGUCCUUCACAGGAACUUCAGCAGCUGCUGCUGCCGCUGCUAUCAGAUGGGUAUCAAAAGAUGGCAUCGGAGCUUUUGGGCGUCUUCUUAUUGGUGGACGAUUUGGAACACUUUUUGAUGAUGACCCAAAGAAGUGGCGGAUGUAUGCUGAUUUCAUUGGGAGUGCUGGAAGCAUCUUUGAUCUCACCACUCCUCUCUAUCCUGGCUACUUCCUCCCACUUGCAUCAUUGGGGAAUCUUGCAAAGGCUGUAGGAAGAGGAUUUAGAGAUCCUUCCAAUCGUGUUAUCCAAAAUCACUUCGCAAAAUCUGGAAAUCUAGGGGAGAUUGCUGCGAAGGAGGAAGUAUGGGAAGUAGGAGCUCAGCUGGUAGGCCUUUCUAUAGGUGUACUUAUUCUGGACACGCCAGGUAUACAGUCUUCAUACUUAACUCUUACUCUGACAUGGCUGGGUGUUCGUCUUCUGCAUCUUUGGUUUCGCUACCAGUCCCUAGUAGUUCUCAAGUUCCGCACAGUUAACCUAAAACGUGCUCGGAUUCUUGUGAGGUCACAUGUUGCAAAUCAUACAGUUCCUGGCUAUGUUGCUUGCAAUGAGGAAGAGAAUAUUUUAACAUGGGAGAGAUUCUUGCAACCCCGAAUUUCUUUUGGUGUGCCCAUGGAGAGGAUGCUCGGUGGAGAGGAAUCCACUCACAUGGACAUGGUGAAUAUGCUGCUGAAGCUAUACAAGAAUGAGAAGUACAUCCUCUGUGUUGAGCAGCUUGGGUCAGAAGAGGCAACAUACCUGGUUACAUUCAAGGAGGCGGCAACGAGCAUGUCGGUCCUAAGGAGCCUAUGGCAAGCCCACUGGCUUCACCAAAAUCGACUGAAGGAGGACGACGUUUUCGCCUGGCUAGAAGAGAGCCUCGCUGCAUUGGAGGAUGGGUUUGCAAACUUCAUCAAACAGAUGGAGGAAGCUGGCUGGGAUCAAAGCCAAAUCUUCUUGAAGGUGCCAAAAGAACCUGUCUUGGUGUUGGAACACCUUGACCAGGAGGUGUGA